rnacentral:rRNA from 1 species
AAGGUCAGUCGUGUAUUGGAUUUGGGGGUUGAUGCGGCAUACUGUUGCUCCCUCUGCUUUCAUUAUCGAUGCCGUGCAUGCCACGUUAAGCGGUCAGAGUGUUUAUCCUCGACCAAUCCUUACAGUGUUCUCUGAACACGUUAAUCGGUGUGAGGUUAUCCUCCACCAACUGGAGAAUGAAGCGGCAACGCUGACUCCAAACAUGAAGGUUGAAGUCGGAUUGUGCCACCUCCCCCGUGGUGACCUUUGGAAAUGGCCGUAUCUCAUACGGUGCCAGCCAAGGUACAAACGCAGACACCAUUGGUGAUUUUAUUAUAACUGUUGUUCUUACAAAAAACUGUGACAUGAACGCGCUGGAUCCCUUGGCAUGCUGAGACGAUGAAGAACGUAGCGAGCUGCGAAAUGUGAUGUGAAUUGCAAAUCCAAAGCGAUCUCGUGAAUCAUCGAAUCUUUGAACGCACUGCACCGCCCUUUAUGGGAGUGGUACGCCCGAAUGAGCGUCAUAUUACUCUUCAGGCUGGUAUUCUCAACUGUUGAAUCAGUGAGCAACAUGUUACUGCACCCUAUCUUCUAGGAGGUAGUAGAGGUAACAUGUUGUGAGGACACUUUGCUCUGGUUACGAGACUGCACAGGAGGAUAAUGUCCUUUGACCUCUUGCCUGCUGCGUGUCUUUAGAUGCAUUAGCGGACCUGGCACUACUUUACGUCUGUACCGCGGUGUGAUACUAAUGAUCACCGUUGGGAGUAAAGCAUUCCAACUGCUUCUAACCAGCCCUUGGGCAAACUCCACUGUUUGCAGUGACAUAUGACAAUUGGCCUCACUCGGGUGUGAUGACCCGCUUGAUUUAAGCAUAUUAUUCAGCGGAGGAAAAGAAACUAACGAGGAUUCCCCUAGUAACUGCGAGUGAAGAGGGAUGAGC